GGGCCCUUAGCUUAGUCUGGUUUAAAGCGUUCCGCUCAUAACGGAUAGACCGCUGGUUCAAAUCCGGCAGGGCCCA
rnacentral:tRNA from 1 species